rnacentral:tRNA from 1 species
CGGGCUGUGGCGCAGCUUGGUAGCGCGCUUGAAUGGGGUUCAAGAGGUCCCGCGUUCAAAUCGCGGCAGCCCGACCA